UACAGAGGAUGCAAGCGUUAUCCGGAAUGAUUGGGCGUAAAGCGUCUGUAGGUGGCUUUUUAAGUCCGCCGUCAAAUCCCAGGGCUCAACCCUGGACAGGCGGUGGAAACUACCAAGCUGGAGUACGGUAGGGGCAGAGGGAAUUUCCGGUGGAGCGGUGAAAUGCGCAGAUAUCAGGAAGAACACCCGUGGCGAAGGCGGCUCUCUGGGACGGUACUGACGCUGAGACGCGAAAGCGUGGGGAGCAAACAGG
rnacentral:rRNA from 1 species